UUGGAGGGCAAGUCUGGUGCCAGCAGCCGCGGUAAUUCCAGCUCCAAUAGCGUAUAUUAAAGUUGUUGCAGUUAAAAAGCUCGUAGUUGAAUUUCAGGCCUGGCUGGACGGUCCGCCCUUCGGGUGAGUACUGUCUGUGGUCGGGUCCUACCUUCUGGCGAAGCGUCAUGGCCUUAACCGGCCGUGGCGGGGAACCAGGACUUUUACUGUGAAAAAAUUAGAGUGUUCAAAGCAGGCAAUCGCUUGGAUACAUUAGCAUGGAAUAAUGGAAUAGGACAAUGGUUCUAUUUGUUGGUUUCUAGGACCGUUGUAAUGAUUAAUAGGGAUAGUUGGGGGCAUUAGUAUUCAAUUGUCAGAGGUGAAAUUCUUGGAUUUAUUGAAGACUAACUACUGCGAAAGCAUUUGCCAAGGAUGUUUUCAUUAAUCAAGAACGAAAGUUAGGGGAUCGAAGACGAUCAGAUACCGUCGUAGUCUUAACCAUAAACUAUGCCGACUAGGAAUCGGGCGAUGUUGAAAAAAUGACGCGCUCGGCACCUUAUGGGAAACCAAAG
rnacentral:rRNA from 1 species